rnacentral:lncRNA from 1 species
AUGAUUAACUCGGGCCGCGGCGCGUUCUCAUGGCAACCGGCUCCUGCCCAGGCGGGGGGUCGGUGGCGCGCCCGCGCUCCCGCGCACUCUCCCGCGCGCUCACACUCACACGCGGGGCCGCCCACUCUGCGGCCUCCCCGCUCCGCACAGAUGUUCCCGCUGGGACCCGGGACCGGGGGCCCACGCCCCACACACGCUAGUGCACACGUGCUCGCACACCCACUGGUGCACACACAGCGUCAUACAUGCUCAUUUUUCGUGUAUGGGCUCUCGCAGGCCAGUACACACGUCCCUCACACAUGCCUUCACACAUGCUCUAGUCCGCACACACGAACACAUCCAGUGUUCACACACGUGCUUUUGCUCUUUACACUCCCAGGCGCACAUCCGCUAACCCUCGUACCGAACUUUCACACACGCUCGUUACUCCUCACACACGCUUCUCCCAUGCUGUCCUUCACACGCUCUCACACACCAGCUCGUUUUCUUGACCAUCUAACACACGCUUUCACACACACUCUCUAUAUACAGAUAACAUGUAUACACUUCCACAUUCUCACACACUUUACACAGGCACUCACGGUAUCGUCAGGCGCUCUCACACGUGCUUCCCCACACACGGUCCACGUGCAAUGGCUCCCAUGCACCUUGGGGCAUACAUACACUUGCUCUCCCUCACACACGUUCUCGCACACACUCCACACCUCGUUCUCUGACACUCUAGUAUACACAUCCUUUGAAACCCAAGUCCACACUCUCACUCACGCGCUCUCACACUCCAGGUAUCAUGUACACACACACGUGUGUCACACGUUAUCACUAUGUUUACACACACACAUGCUCUCACUAGCUCUAGUAGGAAUACACAGGCCGGGUUGCCUCCCCAGCCACGGCACCACCCCCGGAAUUUGCAUCUUCCAGGGCUUAGGGUUUUUUAAGGUAAAAUACUCCUUCAAGCUCCAGUGCAACAAGCGCAGAGUGCAACUGCUCAGGAGCAGGCAGCAGCUCCCGGCACAGCCCAAAGUCCCUCCUGGGGGGACGUCUCAGAAGAGGCACAGGGGAGGCCAGGGAGCCGGCGGCCAAGGAGAGACAGCUGACCCAGAGGAGCCACUCUGUUCUUUGUCUCCCAAACAGAGGCGGCAUUUUACUCCAGAGCCGGCAGCCAUCGUCCCCUCCAGGCUGCAGGAGGACAAGAAGGAAGCUCAGAAGCCCGCCCAGUGCAGGCUGAUGGCUCCGCAGACAGUCCGAGAAGGGUGGGCACUUGACUCUUCCCCAGAGGUGCAAGGAGGGGACUGCAGGGGGACAUGCAGAUCAACAAAGUUUCUAUCUCCUGUCUCGGCCCAGGCACUAGGCCAAGGUCCUGGGCCUCUCAUUGUUCUGGAUGCCAGAACAGGACACUCCACAAGCCCCCGGCUGGAAGUGGGCUAA